rnacentral:rRNA from 1 species
AUUGAACGCUGGCGGCAGGCCUAACACAUGCAAGUCGAGCGGAUGAGAGGAGCUUGCUUCUCGAUUCAGCGGCGGACGGGUGAGUAAUGCCUAGGAAUCUGCCUGGUAGUGGGGGACCACGUUUCGAAAGGAACGCUAAUACCGCAUACGUCCUACGGGAGAAAGCAGGGGACCUUCGGGCCUUGCGCUAUCAGAUGAGCCUAGGUCGGAUUAGCUAGUUGGUGAGGUAAUGGCUCACCAAGGCGACGAUCCGUAACUGGUCUGAGAGGAUGAUCAGUCACACUGGAACUGAGACACGGUCCAGACUCCUACGGGAGGCAGCAGUGGGGAAUAUUGGACAAUGGGCGAAAGCCUGAUCCAGCCAUGCCGCGUGUGUGAAGAAGGUCUUCGGAUUGUAAAGCACUUUAAGUUGGGAGGAAGGGUUGUAGAUUAAUACUCUGCAAUUUUGACGUUACCGACAGAAUAAGCACCGGCUAACUCUGUGCCAGCCGCUGCGGUAAGAC